AUCGAUGAAGAACGCAGCGAAAUGCGAUAAGUAAUGUGAAUUGCAGAAUUCAGUGAAUCAUCGAAUCUUUGAACGCACAUUGCGCCCCUUGGUAUUCCGGGGGGCAUGCCUGUUCGAGCGUCAUUAUAACCCUCAAGCUCAGCUUGGUGUUGGGGCAUGCCUACUGGCAGCUCUUAAAAUCAGUGGCGGUGCCUCUCGGCUCUAAGCGUAGUAAUUCUUCUCGCUAUGGUGCCCGGGAGGCCACUGGCCAAAACCCCCAUUUUUCUAUGGUUGACCUCGGAUCAGGUAGGGAUACCCGCUGAACUUAAGCAUAUCAAUAAGCGGAGGAAAAGAAACCAACAGGGAUUGCCCCAGUAACGGCGAGUGAAGCGGCAACAGCUCAAAUUUGAAAUCUGGCUCUUUCAGGGUCCGAGUUGUAAUUUGUAGAAGAUGCUUUGGGUGUGGUGCCGGUCUAAGUUCCUUGGAACAGGACGUCAUAGAGGGUGAGAAUCCCGUAUGUGACUGGUCGCCUUCGCCCGUGUAAAGCUCUUUCGACGAGUCGAGUUGUUUGGGAAUGCAGCUCAAAAUGGGUGGUAAAUUUCAUCUAAAGCUAAAUAUUGGCCAGAGACCGAUAGCGCACAAGUAGAGUGAUCGAAAGAUGAAAAGCACUUUGGAAAGAGAGUUAAACAGUACGUGAAAUUGUUGAAAGGGAAGCGCUUGCAAUCAGACUUGGGUAUGGUUGAUCAUCCGGGGUUCUCCCCGGUGCACUCUAUCAUACACAGGCCAGCAUCGGUUCUGGUGGUUGGAUAAAGGCCUUGGGAAUGUAGCUUCUUUCGGGGAGUGUUAUAGCCCUCGGUGCAAUGCAGCCUACUGGGACCGAGGACCGCGCUUCGGCUAGGAUGCUGGCGUAAUGGUUGUAAGCGACCCGUCUUGAAACACG
rnacentral:rRNA from 1 species